CGGUGUUUAACUGGCGUGAUGUGGGACGUCCUACCGGUGGGCUUAGCCUCGCGAGGGGCGGCCCAACUAAUAUCCCGUCGCGGUGCUCUUUACUGAGUGUCGAGUCGGGCCGGUACGUUUACUUUGAACAAAAUUAGAGUGCUUAAAGCAGGCUAUCCCUCGCCCUGAAAUACUGCGUGCAUGGAAUAAUGGAAUAGGACCUCGGUUCUAUUUUGUUGGUUUUCGGAACCCCGAGGUAAUGAUUAAUAGGGACAGAUGGGGGCAUUCGUAUUGCGACGUUAGAGGUGAAAUUCUUGGAUCGUCGCAAGACGGACAGAAGCGAAAGCAUUUGCCAAAAAUGUUUUCAUUAAUCAAGAACGAAAGUUAGAGGUUCGAAGGCGAUCAGAUACCGCCCUAGUUCUAACCAUAAACGAUGCCAGCUAGCGAUCCGCCGAAGUUCCUCCGAUGACUCGGCGGGCAGCUUCCGGGAAACCAAAGCUUUUGGGUUCCGGGGGAAGUAUGGUUGCAAAGCUGAAACUUAAAGGAAUUGACGGAAGGGCACCACCAGGAGUGGAGCCUGCGGCUUAAUUUGACUCAACACGGGAAACCUCACCAGGCCCAGACACCGGAAGGAUUGACAGAUUGAUAGCUCUUUCUUGAUUCGGUGGGUGGUGGUGCAUGGCCGUUCUUAGUUGGUGGAGCGAUUUGUCUGGUUAAUUCCGAUAACGAACGAGACUCUAGCCUGCUAAAUAGGCGUACCUUAUGGUAUCGCGAAGGCCCCCGGCUUCGGCCGGUGGGUUUUUACUACCAACGUACAAACAAAUCUUCUUAGAGGGACAGGCGG
rnacentral:rRNA from 1 species